rnacentral:rRNA from 1 species
CCUACGGGUGGCAGCAGUGGGGGAUAUUGCACAAUGGGGGGAACCCUGAUGCAGCGACGCCGCGUGGGUGAAGAAGGGCCUAGGCGCGGAAAGCCCUGGCAGCAGGGAAGAAAAUGACGGUACCUGAAGAAGAAGCCCCGGCUAACUACGUACCAGCAGCCGCGGGAAGACGUAGGGGGCAAGCGUUCUCCGGAUUUCCUGGGGGUAAAGGGGGCGCAGACGGCGAUGCAAGCCAGGAGUGAAAGCCCGGGGCCCAACCCCGGGACUGCUCUGGGAACUGCGUGGCUGGAGUGCAGGAGGGGCUGGCGGCAUUCCUGGUGUAGCGGUGACAUGCGUAGAUAUCAGGAGGAACCCCGGUGGCGAAGGCGGCCUGCUGGACUGCAACUGACGUUGAGGCCCGAACGCGUGUGGAGCAAACAGGCUUAGAUCCCCGAGUAGUC